rnacentral:rRNA from 1 species
UGGGGAAUUUUGGACAAUGGGCGAAAGGCCUGAUCCAGCAAUGCCGCGUGUGUGAAGAAGGCCUUCGGGUUGUAAAGCACUUUUGUCCGGAAAGAAAUCCUUGGCUCUAAUACAGUCGGGGGAUGACGGUACCGGAAGAAUAAGCACCGGCUAACUACGUGCCAGCAACCGCGGUAAUAGCGUAGGGUGCAAGCGUUAAUCGGAAUUACUGGGCGUAAAGCGUGCGCAGGCGGUUUGCUAAGACCGAUGUGAAAUCCCCGGGCUCAACCUGGGAACUGCAUUGGUGACUGGCAGGCUAGAGUAUGGCAGAGGGGGGUAGAAUUCCACGUGUAGCAGUGAAAUGCGUAGAGAUGUGGAGGAAUACCGAUGGCGAAGGCAGCCCCCUGGGCCAAUACUGACGCUCAUGCACGAAAGCGUGGGGAGC